AACGAACGCUGGCGGCAUGCUUUACGCAUGCAAGUCGAACGGUAACAGGCCUUCGGGCGCUGACGAGUGGCGAACGGGUGAGUAAUGCAUCGGAACGUGCCCAGUCGUGGGGGAUAACGCAGCGAAAGCUGUGCUAAUACCGCAUACGAUCUGCGGAUGAAAGCGGGGGACCUUCGGGCCUCGCGCGAUUGGAGCGGCCGAUGUCAGAUUAGGUAGUUGGUGGGGUAAAGGCUCACCAAGCCAACGAUCUGUAGCUGGUCUGAGAGGACGACCAGCCACACUGGGACUGAGACACGGCCCAGACUCCUACGGGAGGCAGCAGUGGGGAAUUUUGGACAAUGGGCGCAAGCCUGAUCCAGCAAUGCCGCGUGCAGGAAGAAGGCCUUCGGGUUGUAAACUGCUUUUGUACGGAGCGAAAAGGCUCCCUCUAAUACAGGGGGCUCAUGACGGUACCGUAAGAAUAAGCACCGGCUAACUACGUGCCAGCCGCCGCCGUAAGAC
rnacentral:rRNA from 1 species